rnacentral:rRNA from 1 species
UACUAGAGUAGCACUCGCAUAUCAAUAAGCGGAGGAAAAGAAACUAACAAGGAUUCCCCUAGUAACGGCGAGUGAAGCGGGAAGAGCUCAAAUUUGAAAUCUUAAAGGGUUUCCCUUUACGAAUUGUAGUUUAAAGAAGUGUUUUCUGUUGAGGUUUUGGUAAAAGUUCUUUGGAAUAGGACAUCAUAGAGGGUGAGAAUCCCGUAUUUGACCUUUACUUUCAACUUUGUGAUACACUUUCAAAGAGUCGGAUUGUUUGGGAAUGCAGUCCAAAAUGGGUGGUAAAUUUCAUCUAAAGCUAAAUAUUGGCGAGAGACCGAUAGCGAACAAGUACCGUGAGGGAAAGAUGAAAAGAACUUUGAAAAGAGAGUUAAACAGUACGUGAAAUUGUCAAAAGGGAAGCGUUUGACACCAGUGUUGUUUUUCUGAAAAUCAAUUAUAAGAACUGUUUAUGCUAAGUUGUUUAGACUUUAUCAGCUAUCUGCUUAGUUUUGAGCUUUUCUUUAAUGCACUUUUCAGUUAACAAGUCAACAUCAAUUUCUUUUGCUGUAAAAAAGCUUGAGGAAGGUGGCUUGAGAUUCGUCUUAAGUGUUUAUAGCCUCUUGCCUAUGCAGUCGGAGAGAUUGAGGUCUGCAGCGUAGAUCCUUCGGGGCUAGAUGCAUUUGCGCUAAGUUAUAGCAUUUUAUAGACAACUUGUUGACUAUGAUUUGUCUUGUAGCUUACUCGCUUAUGUUAUUUUACCUACGCUUAGGAUGUUGAACUACUGAGACAUAGA